UUCCCGGACAGCAGCGGUAUAGUUUCCUCCAUUCGUGAACUGCAGCCGGUUCGUUUCUUCCCCCGCACAGCUAAACAUCCUGGAAAUACCAGAAACGAAAAAAAAACACAAAACGGGAUGCUUUUAAUACUUCAACAUGGCUGGAGACAGGAUGUUCUACUGUACAUUGUAUCUCUGACCCCAGAGCUGCAGGACCCAAACCCGUCAUGAAUGACUGCCCACAAC